AACUUUGCCACAGUGGCAGUAUCGUAGCCAAUGAGGCUUAUCUGAAGCGUGAUUAUUGCUAAUUGAAAGCUUUUCAUAGAUCAAAGAUGUUUUUGAUGGAUCGCAGUUCGCUAAGAACUUUUAUCAAGAAGGGAUGUUGGUUAGAAUGUAUUUUAAUAUGUGCAGGUAUAUUACGUAUA
rnacentral:snRNA from 1 species